UAAAAUGCAAGCUCUCAGGGGCAGCUAAGUGGGUCAGUGGAUUGAGAGCCAGGCUUAGAGAUGGGAAAUCCUGUGUUCAAAUAUGAUCUCAGGUACUUCCUAGCUGUGUGACCCUGGGCAAGUCAUUUAUCCCAAAUUGCAUACCUCUUAUAAAUUUUCUGUCUUGGAACCAUUUGGUUCCAAGAAGGAAGAUAAAAGUUAUUUGAAAAAAAAAAUGUAAGCUUUUUACAAGUAGACAUUGCUUCAUUAUUUGUACUUUUUAAAUUAUACAGUCCAAUACUUAUUUAUGAAGCAACCUGCUAUAUGUCAGUUACUUUGCUAAAGCACUGGUGAUUAAAAUGAAUAAAAAAAUGAUCUCUGCCCUCAGAGAACUUACAAUCUAAUGCAGAGAGGCAACAUAUAAAAUUGGAUAAGAAAGGAAGGGUUGAAAUCAGGGGGUACCCAGCAUGGGGGUGUCUUGUUCCAAGGAAUUGAAAUCAGGCAGAGUAGAAGAAAGCAGAAUGGAGUGAGCUAAAAAGUCCACUUUCUGCUCUCUCUAAAGGCAAGCACUGGGAUGAGUUUGGUACUCUUGCCUCCAGUUAGAAGGGAGAGGAGAGGAAGGCAGGUGGUGUCAAUCAAGGUGUGAGUUAGCAGAGCGGUGAUAAGAUUAGAUGUGAUGAGCUCAACCUGGGAAGAGUAUCUUGUAUCUGUGGAGUUGAAAACAGGCAGGGCAGCAGAUGCAGAGUGGAGUGAGCAGAUGGAGUACUUAUAUUUGCAGCAUCUAGUCCAGUGCCUGGCACAUGGGAGGAAGAAGAAACAGCGUGCAUCCUAUAGGUGUUCCCCAGGCCUGACUCCUGUGGAAGAAAUGGAGAUGAGAACUACAGGGGAAGUGGAGAGAGUAUGGAUAAGUGAGACAUGGAUGAAGAAGCUCUGGAGGGGGCAGAAGGCUCAGUCUAACAGGAUGAUCUGUGUUGCCUCUGGGCUAACUUCAGAAGAGCCAAGUGGCAGCUACUGACUCACCAUUUCCUGUGUCACGUAGUUCUUUCCAAGGUGAUCACCUCUGCACUAUAUGGAUGAGUGAAUUGGAGAAAACCUGCAACAGAGCCAAAGGAGUAAGGUUUGCAGAAGCUGUCAAUCAAGGAGCCUUCUGGAAAAGAAUAUCACCGGAGGGAGACUGUUGAAGGGAAGCAUUCAAACUGUUGGAAUUGUCUCUUUCUCCUGAGACAGGAAGGAGUAAGGACUGAGAAGAUCCUCUUCUUACUGAUUCUCUUUUCUGUAUUAGAAAGUGACUCAAAGAUCCUCAAUCCUGUGAGCCAUAUCCCUCAAUCCAAGACUCUACUAUACUAUUCUUUAAUUUAGGAUUAUUUUAAGAUCAGGGAAACCCUAAAACCUCUCUCCCAUCCAAUUUCCUUUCCCUUCCCCUUUCCUUAAAUAAACCCCUUGUUCUAACUAUUCA
rnacentral:lncRNA from 1 species